rnacentral:rRNA from 1 species
CGGACGGGUGAGUAACGCGUGGGGAACCUGCCUUGCACCGGGGGAUAACACUUAGAAAUAGGUGCUAAUACCGCAUAAGCGCACAGAGCCGCAUGGCUCAGUGUGAAAAACUCCGGUGGUGCAAGAUGGACCCGCGUCUGAUUAGCUGGUUGGCGGGGUAACGGCCCACCAAGGCGACGAUCAGUAGCCGGCCUGAGAGGGUGAACGGCCACAUUGGGACUGAGACACGGCCCAAACUCCUACGGAAGGCAGCAG